UGCUGGAGCUUGUGAAGGGACUGGUACUGUGGAAUGAUGCCCACAAGAUCUCCAAGACUCAGAGUGGCCACAUGAUAUCCCAGAAGAGUUCUGGUGAGGAUCCAGUGAUAAUGGUGUACCAGAAACGGAGGCCUUGAUUCAGACCAGUGACUCACCUCAAUGAACAUUUGCCAGUCAAGCUGAUGGGACAAAGAGGAUCUAAUUGGAAGGAGAAACAGUUCAUUUCCAAACCAGCAGCUGUGGAUCCUUUUAAAAUAUAACGGUGCUUCUGCUGGGUGUAGUGGUGCACGUCUUUGAUCCCAGCACUGGAGAGGCAGAGGCAGGCAGAUCUCCCAGAGUUCAAGGCCAGCCUGGUCUACAGAGGGAGUUCCAGGACAACCAGAGCUACAUACAAAGAGGACCGAAGAACAAAGAAUUGAAGAGAUUUCUCCAGAUUCACAGCAAAUUUGAAGAGUUUCACUGAAAAUUCUUCUAUUAAGUAGCCAGUAUUCCUUAUGAAGUUUUGUAAAUUUAACCUUUUAGUCUCUUAUUCUUUACUUGCCUUCAAUUAUUAAAGAAAAAAUCCCCUACCCAGAGAGCAGAAAUCACCAUGGAUAAAAUUAGAAAGAUGGUUUUCAGCAGCUACGAUCCACAACAGAAAGAUAGCUGCCCCAUGCCAUCCUGGAACCUUUCCUUGUUGACUGAAAUCAUCUUAUGGCUAAGCUGGGGUCUCCAAGAUAGCCUUGUAACUGCAUAUUGGGAGAUAUGAUUCCAUCACCAAGGAAUGCUGGGUAGACAGAAGCACCUGCUUUCUCCUGCAUUUUUGAGAAAAGGAAGUGAAAUGUUUCUCUUUCAAAGUUGAAUAAAAACCAUUUCCAGGAGUGAUAAAAAUGUUCCCUAAGCCAAGUAGAUAGCCUUCUGUGAAAUCGUAAGGCAAAAUGG